UCCCUCGUAUAUUCCGGAGGAGAUAGAAGUAUUUUGCGUAAUACGGACGGAGGUUCGAAUCCCCGCAAGGCGU
rnacentral:tRNA from 1 species